AAAGUACUCCCUCCAUCCCAAAAUUCUUGUCUUAGAUUUUUCUAGAUACGUAUGUAUCUAGAUACAUCCGUAUCUAGACAAAUCUAAGACAAGAAAUUGGGGAAAGAGGGAGUAGUUG
rfam:Triticum aestivum genome assembly, contig: Triticum_aestivum_CS42_TGACv1_scaffold_193716_3AL